CGGAUUGGAGCUGNAACCCGACUCCAUGAAGCUGGAUUCGCUAGUAAUCGCGCAUCAGCCACGGCGCGGUGAAUACGUUCCCGGGCCUUGUACACACCGCCCGUCAAGCCAUGGGAGCCGGGAGUGCCUGAAGUACGUGACCGCAAGGAGCGUCCUAGGGUAAGACCGGUGACUGGGGCUAAGUCGUAACAAGGUAAC
rnacentral:rRNA from 1 species